ensembl:misc_RNA Y_RNA Y RNA
GGGUCCUCCAAAAGUAGUGAGUUAUGGCAGUUGAUCAUUCACUGACAGUUACAGAUGAAACCUCUUGUUCUACUGUUUCCCUCUCACUAAUACUUGACUAGUCUUAA